UAGGUAUGCAAAGCGAACGCGGCGAACUGAAACAUCUAAGUAGCUGCAGGAAAAUAAAUCAACCGAGAUUCCCAAAGUAGUGGCGAGCGAAAUGGGAAGAGCCUGUACGUGAUAGUCGGACUGAUAGUGGAAUGCUCUGGAAAUGGCAGCCAUAGCGGGUGAUAGCCCCGUACACGAAAUCAGACCGGUGGUACUAAGCGUACGACAAGUAGGGCGGGACACGAGAAAUCCUGUCUGAAUAUGGGGGGACCAUCCUCCAAGGCUAAAUACUCGUAAUCGACCGAUAGUGAACCAGUACCGU
rnacentral:rRNA from 1 species